GGUACCGGACUUCUAAAACUAUGAAGUUACGGUGUACAUUUAAAUAGUUCCGAUGAGAUUGCGGUGGAAUGUAACAUACCGGAUUUUAAAUGUAAAAGUGAAAAUAAAUAAAAAUAGUAUGAGAUAAUAUUUUUAUUGGAUUUAGAGAAGUGAAAUAUAGGUUGGGAAUGACCUGUGCUGAAAUCGAAGCGAAAACAGAAGAUUUAGAAUUUUCUGUGAGAAAUGAGGCAGAUAAAUUAGUAGAAAAUACACAGUGUCAGAAAAUUAUGAAAACUUGGGGAUAAGUUAGAAUUAUUUUUAUGAGGCUAUAUUUAAAGUUUCAGCCCAUUCUGACACCCGGAAGGUGAAAAAUAAAAUCCGACAGUUAUCUGAUAAAGAUUACAGUUCGGUACAGCUUUCGGUGACCAAACGGGGUCGAAACU
rnacentral:lncRNA from 1 species